GGUACUUUAUGUAUAUAUCUUCUAUAUACUCGUAUUCAUUAAUUAUAUAUAUAUACAUAUGUAUGUAUACACAGCAUAUUAUAAUUAUACUUCAAUACAGAAAAUAAUUAUAAUUAUGUAUACUAUACAUUCAUCCUGCAAACGAAUAUAUGUAUAUUAUGCUAUGUUGUAUCCAAAAUUGACUGGGUUUUGAAGAUACUUCCAAGUGUAAUAAUAAUAAUAAUCCAUUUUAUGUCUUCGCGACGAUUUUAAGUUUUCUCUUCUAUUUUUCUCUUUCUUCUUUUGUUCCUCCCGUUGUGCCGUUUUGGUAUUUUGUUUACUUGUAGUUGUAUAUAUAUAUAAAUAUAUGUAUAUAUUAUAUAUUUAUAUUUGCUGUUGUUUUUGUUGUUGUUACUGUUGUUAUUGUGAUAGUGUUUUAACUUUUAACUUCUUUCAUCGAUUGGGAGAAAGUAAGAGAGAAGGGAUUCUAAUACUGAUUUUGAUAGUAAAAAUAUAUAGUAAUAACAGGUGUGUUGUGUGUGAUUUUUUUUAAUGAAUUAGAUAGAUAGAAAGAUAGAUAGAUAGAUAGAUAGAUAGAUAGAUAGAUAGAUAGAUAGAUAGAUAGAUAGAUAGAUAGAUAGUUAGAUGGGUAACUAAUUUGGGAAUGAAUGAAAUUAACAAUUCUUUGAGCGGGAGGGUGCGAUGAGUUGCGAAUAAUUUAUAAAUAUGAAAUGUUAAAUAAGAAACGUUAUCAACUAUAUACACACAAAAAUUACAAUCUAAAAGAUCAGAUGCUACAGAACUUAUAUUGUGUUUGUUUCGACUCACCGAAAUUCAAAUAAGGAAACACACACAACAAGUAUGAUUAUAUAUACAUAUAUAUAGAAAAAGAUAUAGAUAUAUAUAUAUUGUACAUAUGUGUGCGUGCGUGCGUGUGGUAUGUGUAUGAGUGAUUAUACGUGUACGAUGUGUUUGCUUAUGGGGGAAAGAAGAGAAAAAGUAAAGAAUUAGCAGAUUAAACUACAUAGAUGUUUAAAGACAUAUAUACGCGCACGCACGCGCUUGUGUGUGAGAGUGUACACGUAAAUAAGAGUAUGAGAAAAGCAUAUAUUUAUGUGUGUAUGUGUAUAUAUAUAUAUAUAUAUAUAUAUAUGUGUGUGUGUAUGUAUAUGUUAUAUGUGUGUGUAUUUCUGUGAUUGUGUGUGUAUGUGCGUUUGUACGCUUACAUAUGCAGAUAUAUAGGUGUGUGUGUGAAGUGUAUAUCUUUUUCCGAUAGGUACGGUAUGAGGUCAGCUUUUUCGUCUCUUAUGAUUUUGCCUGUGUAACUUUUCCAUACGCCGUUCAGUUUGAGGUAUUUUCAUAGACAUAUAUAAUAUAUAUUAUAUCUAUAGAUAUAUAUAUAUAUAUAUAUUUAAAUAAAUAUAAACGUAUACAUAUAUAUAUAAUGAGAGAGAGAUAAAUAGACAGAUAGAUAUUUAUGCAUGUAAAUAUAUAUAUAUUUUAUAUUGUCAUAUUAUACAUAUAUAUAAACACGCACACAAUAUUUAACUGUUUGGAACAUCUUUCGCAUUUUGGACCCUGAUUUUAUUGCAGCGAGAUGUUGUUCUCUCUCUCUCUCUCCUUCUCUUACUUCCUCCCUCUCUCACUCUCUCCCUCUCUCUCUCUCUCUCUCUCACACUCUCUCUGUAACUAUCCUUGUUAUUCUUUUGGUCUCAUCUUGCUUUGCUUAAUAUAAGCGAGCGGUACUCCUACUUCUUUGCAGACGUUCUUCUGUCCGCUUUCUGCACUGGCGAUGCUGGUGCCGGUGGCUUUCUGUGUGUGCCGUUUGCUCGAUGGUAACGGUAACAAGACGGGCGGGGGGGGAGUAGAGUGGAGAGGGGGGGUGAUGAUGAGAGGGGAGAGGGGAGCAGUGGAAGAACAAGAACAAGAACAAGAAGAAGACAACAGAAAGAAGGUAAGGUAGAAGAAGCGAAUGGGGAGCAAAAACAGUGAGCUUAGAAAGCGAACGAGAGAGAGAGAGAGAGAGAGAGAGCGAACGAGCGAAAUAGAGAGAAGAGGUAAGGUGAUAGAAAUAAUGGUACUGGUGGUUCUCGACGUUGUAGUUGGUUGAUGGUUGGUUGGUGGUGGUGGGGGAGGGGGAGCGGGAGCGGACGUGGUGGGCUAAGGCGGGCAAAGCCGGUGAUCGGGAAGAGGGGGCGGCGGCGGCGAAGGAAAGACAGGGGGGUAGUAAUAUAAAGAAGAAAAAUAAAAAGCUAACCCACCCACCCACCCUCUUCCUUUGUCAGUCAGUCAGUCAGAUACAAGUGCGUGCGAUUGUUGGUGUGUUUGUUCUUCAGAUGAAAGCUCUCCUUGCUCCCCCCCUACUUUUUCCCUCACUCUCUGUCUUUCCUUCCCUCCACCUCUCUCUCUCUCUCUCUGCUCUCUCUUUCUUCCCCCCCUCUUUGCUCUCAUUCUCUUUCUCUCUUUCGCUGCCUUUCUCUCUGUUACUCUCUCUGUUACUCUCUCUCUCUCACUCUUGCCA
rnacentral:lncRNA from 1 species